UACGUAGGGUGCAAGCGUUUAAUCGGAAUUACUGGGCGUAAAGCGUGCGCAGGCGGCUUUGCAAGACAGAUGUGAAAUCCCCCAGGCUUAACCUGGGAACUGCGUGUGAUACUGGAUGGCUUGAAUUCGGGGAGAGGGAUGCAGAAUUCCAGGUGUAGCGGUGAAAUGCGUAGAUAUCUGGAGGAAUACCGGUGGCGAAGGCGGCAUCCGUGGACCGAGAUUGACGCUGAACGGCGA
rnacentral:rRNA from 1 species